rnacentral:lncRNA from 1 species
CUCCCAUAAACACACCUUCUCCUCCCAUAAACACACCUUCUCCUCCCAUAAACACACCUUCUCCCUCCCACAUAGGGCUGUUGUGGUGACUGUAUUACCGCCACACCAAAAGUCAUGAGUCAUGACCACAGUAAAAUUGAAUGGUAAAUCUCCUCUUAUGUACUCUGGACAUGUUAGACAUACCCAACUCGCUAAUGACCGUCAGGUCCUAAUGGCCUGGUACUCAGGGCUCUAUUGUUCCUCCAUCAGGUCCUAAUGGCCUGGUACUCAGGGCUCUAUUGUUCCUCCAUCAGGUCCUAAUGGCCUGGUACUCAGGGCUCUAUGGUCCCUCCAUCAGGUCCUAAUGGUCUGGUACUCAGGGCUCUAUUGUUCCUCCAUCAGGUCCUAAUGGCCUGGUACUCAGGGCUCUAUGGUCCCUCCAUCAGGUCCUAAGGGCCUGGUACUCAGGGCUCUAUUGUUCCUCUAACCACCUUUGAAGUCAAUGCAAAUGCAAUUUAAAAUCGCAUAAAAAACUGAUCAUCAAAACAGUACCGUACUUUUAAAACUCACCUCAUCUGUGAUGAUGAAUUUGAAGAAAGAUGUUCGACAACAGGUUGAAACGGAGAGGAAAACAUGGUCCUUGUGGACGCAAAAGUACAAAUGGAUAGUUAGCUAGCUAACUUAUUGUAACGGUAACUAAAGUUGGGCUUGUAUAUGUGAUGGAUUGCAGACCAGGCAGUGUGCAGUAGACUGUAUAGUUUGCAGUACGGUUAGCCUAGCUAGCGAGCUAGCUACCGCUGUUAGCCACCUAGCAUGCUAACUCGUAGAGAACAAUGGGGCCACCAUUUAGGUGUUAGCCUAGGCUAACGGUUAGCCUAGCUGUUAGCCACCUAGCUCGUUGAGAACAAUGGGGCCACCAUUUAGGUGUUAGCCUAGGCUAACGGUUAGCCUAGCUGUUAGCCACCUAGCAUGCUAGCUCGUUGAGAACAAUGGGGCCACCAUUUAGGUGUUAGCCUAGGCUAACGGUUAGCCUAGCUGUUAGCCACCUAGCAUGCUAGCUCGUUGAGAACAAUGGGGCCACCAUUUAGGUGUUAGCCUAGGCUAACGGUUAGCCUAGCUGUUAGCCACCUAGCAUGCUAGCUCGUUGAGAACAAUGGGGCCACCAUUUAGGUGUUAGCCUAGGCUAACGGUUAGCCUAGCUGUUAGCCACCUAGCAUGCUAGCUUCGUUGAGAAACACUCAGAAGUAUAUUAGAGCUGAUUAUAGACCUACUAUAUACGAGGCCAAGACCGGAACAUCUGAAUUAAAAUAACGAUUGUUCCCUAAUACAAUACAUAGCCUAUUGCAUAUUAUGCACUUUAAUGAUUUAAGAUGUCUUUGGUACAUAAUUUGGUCUAUCCUAUUCUCCUACAUUAAAACACACACUAGUAACGGCCUUUGAAUGUGGACUGUAUUAUUAUGCAUACUGGGUGGACUGGUUAAAUGUAUAGGCUUAGGUCAUGUUGCUGCUUCAUUGAUUGUGCAAGGUGGCUUACAAUAAUUAUUACUUACUUAUAAUUAUUGUGAAUUUGUAAUUGAUUUUUAAUUAGCCUGGUAAAAAAAAGGGCUUUUUUUUUUAUACUUUCAUAAUUAAUCGGCUGACACAUUACCUUUAAUAACUGGAGAAUAUAUCUCACCACUGUGUUUUUCCCAUCUCCUCUCUUCUUCAUUCCUUUCUCAAGGAUGUAGAGAGAGAGAGGUGCUGUCACCAGCUUCAUCCACUAUGUUUCGUUGGUUGGAGGGCCCAUACAGAGUACUGGGUAGCUGCAGGAACAAGGUUGGAGGGCCCAUACAGAGUACUGGGUAGCUGCAGGAACAAGGUUGGAGGGCCCAUACAGAGUACUGGGUAGCUGCAGGAACAAGGUUGGAGGGCCCAUACAGAGUACUGGGUAGCUGCAGGAACAAGGUAGGAGGGCCCAUACAGAGUACUGGGUAGAUGUAGGAUCAGGGUAGGAGAGCCCAUGGCAUACAGAGUACUGGGUAGAUGAACAGGGUAGGAGGGCCCAUGGCAUACAGAGUACUGGGUAGCUGCAGGAACAAGGUAGGAGAGCCCAUACAGAGUACUGGGUAGCUGCAGGGUAGGAGAGCCCAUGGCAUACAGAGUACUGGGUAGCUGCAGGAACAGGGUAGGAGUGCCCAUACAGAGUACUGGGUAGCUGCAGGAACAGGGUAGGAGAGCACAUGGCAUACAGAGUACUGGGUAGCUGCAGGAACAAGGUAGGAGAGCCCAUGACAUACAGAGUACUGGGUAGAUGAACAGGGUAGGAGGGCCCAUGGCAUACAGAGUACUGGGUAGCUGCAGGAACAAGGUUGGAAGAGCCCAUGGCAUACAGAGUACUGGGUAGCUGAAGGAACAAGGUAGGAGGGCCCAUGGCAUACAGAGUACUGGGUAGCUGCAGGAACAAGGUAGGAGAGCCCAUACAGAGUACUGGGUAGCUGCAGGGUAGGAGAGCCCAUGGCAUACAGAGUACUGGGUAGCUGCAGGAACAGGGUAGUAGAGCACAUGGCAUACAGAGUACUGGGUAGGUGCAGGAACAGGGUAGGAGUGCCCAUACAGAGUACUGGGUAGCUGCAGGAACAAGGUAGGAGAGCCCAUGACAUACAGAGUACUGGGUAGAUACAGGAACAGGGUAGGAGAGCCCAUGGCAUACAGAGUACUGGGUAGCUGAAGGAACAGGGUAGGAGGGCCCAUGGCAUACAGAGUACUGGUUAGCUGCAGGAACAGGGUAGGAGAGCCCAUGGCAUACAGAGUACUGGGUAGCUGCAGGAACAAGGUUGGGAGAGCCCAUACAGAGUACUGGGUAGAUACAGUAACAGGGUAGGAGAGCCCAUACAGAGUACUGGGUAGCUGCAGGAACAGGGUAGGAGAGCCCAUACAGAGUACUGGGUAGCUACAGGAACAGGGUAGGAGUGCCCAUGGCAUACAGAGUACUGGGUAGCUGAAGGAACAAGGUAGGAGGGCCCAUGGCAUACAGAGUACUGGUUAGCUGCAGGAACAGGGUAGGAGAGCCCAUGGCAUACAGAGAACUGGGUAGCUGCAGGAACAAGGUUGGGAGAGCCCAUGGCAUACAGAGUACUGGGUAGGAACAGGGUUGGAGUGCCCAUGGCAUACAGAGCACUGGGUAGCUACAGGAACAGGGUAGGAGAGCCCAUACAGAGUACUGGGUGGAAUAUCACCUGUCGCGCAGCGAGAGGCUGGGUGCUCCUCAAACAGUGGUUGAUUUGUGGAGUGAAAUGUGUUCCCAGACAUUUCUAUAUGGAACCAAGCAGUGUUGAUGGGUGUCACUGAAAAGAGGAUCCCAGCUGCUACGCUGCCAGCUGCUACCCUGCCAGCUGAUACUCUGCCAGCUGCUACGCUGCCAGCUGCUACUCUGCCAGCUGCUACGCUGCCAGCUGCUACUCUGCCAGCUGCUACGCUGCCAGCUGCUACUCUGCCAGCUGCUACUCUGCCAGCUGCUACCCUGCCUGCUGCUACUCUGCCAGCUUCUACCCUGUCAGCUGCUACCCUGCCAGCUGCUACUCUGCCAUCUGCUACCCUGCCAGCUGCUACUCUGCCAGCUUCUACCCUGCCAGCUGCUACUCUGCCAUCUGCUACCCUGCCAGCUGCUACUCUGCCAUCUGCUACCCUGCCAGCUGCUACUCUGCCAUCUCCUACCCUGCCUUCUUCUACCCUGCCAUCCACUACCCUGCCAGCUGCUACCCUGCCAUCUUCUACCCUGCCUCUACCCUGCAAGCUGCUACCCUGCUGUUAAACCAGAGUAGCCUAACCGGCAUGAUUAAAGAGGGAAGAGCAGCCUCCAGUACGUACGGAGGAUAAGGUUAAAUUGAGACUAGGCUGCACACGUUCUCUCAUCAUGUGAUCAUAUUUUCACCCAUCACACGGAGACGAGGAUCCGACUUCCUCAAAUCAUAAUCACAGACUCACUCUGUUCCCGCCUAGAAAAUAUUACUCUCUAUAUCUCUCUCUCUCUCACUGUCUCUCUCUGUAUCUCUCUCACUGUCUCUCUCACUGUCUCUCUCUCUCUCACACUCACUCUGUUCCCGCCUAGAAAAUAUUACUCUCUAUAUCUGUCUCUCUCUCACUGUCUCUCUCUGUAUCUCUCUCACUGUCUCUCUCACUGUCUCUCUCUCUCUCACACUCACUCUGUUCCCGCCUAGAAAAUAUUACUCUCUAUAUCUGUCUCUCUCUCUCUGUCUCUCUCUCUGUAUCUCUCUCUAUAUAUCUCAGACACACAGACUCACUCUGUUCCCGCCUAGAAAACAUUACUCUCUAUAUCUCUCUCUCUCACUGUCUCUCUCACUGUAUCUCUCUCUCUCACACUCACUCUGUUCCCGCCUAGAAAAUAUUACUCUCUAUAUCUCUCUCUCUCUCACUGUCUCUCUCUGUAUCUCUCUCACUGUCUCUCUCACUGUCUCUCUCUCUCUCACACUCACUCUGUUCCCGCCUAGAAAAUAUUACUCUCUAUAUCUGUCUCUCUCUCACUGUCUCUCUCUGUAUCUCUCUCACUGUCUCUCUCACUGUCUCUCUCUCUCUCACACUCACUCUGUUCCCGCCUAGAAAAUAUUACUCUCUAUAUCUGUCUCUCUCUCACUGUCUCUCUCUCACUGUCUCUCUCACUGUCUCUCUCUCUCUCUCUCUGUCGCUCACACUUACACUGUUCCUGCCUAGAAAAUAUUACUCUCUCUAUAUCUGUCUCUCUCUCUAUAUCUGUCUCUCUCUCUCUCUCUGUCUCUCUCUCUGUCUCUCACACUCACUCUGUUCCUGCCUAGAAAAUAUUACUCUCUAUAUCUCUCUCUCUCUCUCACUGUCUCUCUCUCUCUGUAUCUCUCUCACUGUCUCUCUCUCUGUCUCUCACACUCAGUCUGUUCCCGCCUAGAAAAUAUUACUCUCUAUAUCUCUCUCUCUCUCUCACUGUCUCUCUCUCUCUCUCUGUAUCUCUCUCACUGUCUCUCUCUCUGUCUCUCACACUCUCUGUUCCCGCCUAGAAAAUAUUACUCUCUAUAUCUCUCUCUCUCUCUCACUGUCUCUCUCUCUCUCUCUGUAUCUCUCUCACUGUCUCUCUCUCUGUCUCUCACACUCACACUGUUCCUGCCUAGAAAAUAUUACUCUCUAUAUAUCUCUCUCUCUCUCUCUCUCUCUCACUGUCUCUCUCACUGUCUCUCUCACUGUCUCUCUCUCUGUAUCUCUCUCUAUAUAUCUCAGACACACAGACUCACAUUGUUCCCGCCUAGAAAACAUUACUCUCUAUAUCUGUCUCUCUCUCACUGUCUCUCUCACUGUCUCUCUCACUGUCUCUCACACUCACACUGUUCCCGCCUAGAAAAUAUUACUCUCUAUAUCUGUCUCUCUCUCACUGUCUCUCUCUCUGUAUCUCUCUCUAUAUAUCUCAGACACACACAGACUCACAUUGUUCCCGCCUAGAAAACAUUACUCUCUCUCUCGGAAGACACACACUGUUAGGGUAAUGAUGAUGUUGAUGUGAGUUAGGGUAAUGUUAGGGUAAUGUUAGGGUAAUGGUUGAUGUGAGUUAGGGUAAUGUUAGGGCAAUGAUGAUGUGAGUUAGGGUAAUGGUUGAUGUGAGUUAGGGUAAUGUUAGGGCAAUGAUAAUGUGAGUUAGGGUAAUGGUGGUAGAAGUCGUAGAGGGGGGAGUAUUGAGAGAUGGUUUAGAGAGGGUAAUGUUAGGGUAAUGGAUGCUGGGUGUUGUGUAGGUCGUUGCUCGGGUCGUUUUUUUGAUCCUCAGGGUUUGGCAAAGGUCAAAGGUUUGCUGCCGCAACAAAGCCAAAGGCAUCAUGGGAAAAUAUCUGACUUGCACUGAAACAGGAAAAAAUGUUGAGGAGAAAAACGUUAUCGUGAACAUUUAUAGUCUCUGAUCAGUUUAAUAUAAACAAAAAGGAACACUUUUCACUUCAUACAAGUUUGUAGCCUAUCGGUCUUUGUUUGAGAGACUGUGUUUGAACUGAACCAGCGUUAUUGAUCACCGGGAGAGUGUGUUUGAACUGAACCAGAGUUAUUGAUCACCGGGAGACUGAACCAGAGUUAUUGAUCACCGGGAGACUGAACCAGCGUUAUUGAUCACCGGGAGACUGAACCAGAGUUAUUGAUCACCGGGAGACUGUGUUUGAACUGAACCAGAGUUAUUGAUCACCGGGAGACUGAACCAGCGUUAUUGAUAACCGGGAGACUGAACCAGCGUUAUUGAUAACCGGGAGACUGUGUUUGAACUGAACCAGAGUUAUUGAUCACCAGGAGACUGUGUUUGAACUGAACCAGAGUUAUUGAUCACCGGGAGACUGAACCAGCGUUAUUGAUAACCGGGAGACUGUGUUUGAACUGAACCAGAGUUAUUGAUCACCAGGAGACUGAACCAGCGUUAUUGAUCACCGGGAGACUGAACCAGAGUUAUUGAUCACCGGGAGACUGUGUUUGAACUGAACCAGAGUUAUUGAUCACCGGGAGACUGAACCAGCGUUAUUGAUAACCGGGAGACUGUGUUUGAACUGAACCAGAGUUAUUGAUCACCAGGAGACUGUGUUUGAACUGAACCAGAGUUAUUGAUCACCGGGAGACUGAACCAGCGUUAUUGAUAACCGGGAGACUGUGUUUGAACUGAACCAGAGUUAUUGAUCACCGGGAGACUGAACCAGAGUUAUUGAUCACCGGGAGACUGAACCAGAGUUAUUGAUCACCGGGAGACUGUGUUUGAACUGAACCAGCGUUAUUGAUCACCAGGAGACUGUGUUUGAACUGAACCAGAGUUAUUGAUCACCGGGAGACUGUGUUUGAACUGAACCAGAGUUAUUGAUCACCGGGAGACUGUGUUUGAACUGAACCAGAGUUAUUGAUCACCAGGAGACUGAACCAGAGUUAUUGAUCACCGGGAGACUGUGUUUGAACUGAACCAGAGUUAUUGAUCACCGGGAGACUGUGUUUGAACUGAACCAGAGUUAUUGAUCACCGGGAGACUGUGUUUGAACUGAACCAGAGUUAUUGAUCACCAGGAGACUGUGUUUGAACUGAACCAGAGUUAUUGAUCACCAGGAGACUGAACCAGAGUUAUUGAUCACCGGGAGACUGUGUUUGAACUGAACCAGCGUUAUUGAUCACCGGGAGACUGUGUUUGAACUGAACCAGCGUUAUUGAUCACCGGGAGACUGAAGGAGUCACUGUGAGUGCAAUAAGCCCUGUCCACAACACACACAACUUAACUAGUCCACAUUCCCCAACUAACUUAACUAGUCAAUAGUCAAGAGGAAGGGGCUGGGGUCUAACCAGAGGAUUUUCUUUGGAAUAAAUUUGUCUACGUUAAAAGUUGUGUGUGUGUGUGAGCUGUCAUUGUGAAUAGUGUUAUCAGGGACGUCAUUCUGAAAGGACAAUCUCAGAGAUACCUUACGAGGUCAACAAUCAAUAAGUUUUUUUUUUUCUGACUGAAUUCAACCAUGAUAUUAUUCCGAUAUUAGUUAUUUAAAUCCUCCGCAUCCAGUCUGUUGUAGAAAAAAGGACAAAGCAUUCAUCUCCACAGCGGCGUACUUACACGGUGUGGCCACCAAUCAGGAAGGGUGGCGCCCCCCAAAAAAAGGAUCAAUCACGGUGAUUUAUUAAAUCGUUUUCUGUGACUCUGCUGUUUUUUAAUGUGAUGAUUGAUUACUGAAGUCAUGAGUUUAGUAACUGAAAUGGAAAUACGUGAUUACAUUUAUUAUUUUUUUUGGGGGGGGGGGGGUCCAACUAUCGAUAUCCUACAUAUCCAUCGAUCAUCAAUAAUAUCCAUUUAGUUAGUGCAUGACUAAUUUAUUGGAUUAUAAAUAUAUUAUUUCUUUGAGUAAUAAAACACCUGGGGG